AACGAACGCUGGCGGCAUGCCUAACACAUGCAAGUCGAACGAGACCUUCGGGUCUAGUGGCGCACGGGUGCGUAACGCGUGGGAACCUGCCCUUAGGUUCGGAAUAACUCCCCGAAAGGGGUGCUAAUACCGGAUAAUGUCUUCGGACCAAAGAUUUAUCGCCUUUGGAUGGGCCCGCGUUGGAUUAGCUAGUUGGUAGGGUAAAAGCCUACCAAGGCGACGAUCCAUAGCUGGUCUGAGAGGAUGAUCAGCCACACUGGGACUGAGACACGGCCCAGACACCUACGGGAGGAAGAAGGGGGGAAUAUGGGACGAGGGGAGAAGGGUUGAAAAAGCAGUUAAGCGGGAAUGAUGAAGACAUUAGGGGUGUAAAGAGCUUUGACCCAGGACGAGAAAGAAGGUGCAGGAAGAAUAAGCAGAGGCUAACUCAGUG
rnacentral:rRNA from 1 species